AGGCUGUGGUUUACUUAACCCAAAUGACUUCCACUCAUUUUCCAAAACGCACAAGUAUAUUACAAUGGAAAAUAUUAGACCAAAUCAACAUUCAGAACAUAUGAAUUUAUAAUCAUGAGAGGGAGAAGACCUUCUACACAUUAAAGGCUUGUUUAUGUGUUGGAAAUUAUAGGAUUUUCACUGGAAAUUGAAAUCACGGAAGCUUUGUGACUGUGAAAGUGACUGAGGUACAAAUUGAAAUAUAAUGGGAAUUCUUCUGUUACAACAUUGCAGCCUGAAUGUAUAAAUAAGGCUAUGCAUCACUUUUCAGUGUUCUGAGGUAUGCAUUACUCAUCAUCUCCCAACAGUCAGCAGAGAGAAGUAGCUGCCAUUUCACAUGAGACAGCAGAGAGAGAAGGCGCAGUUUAAAAAGAAAAACAAACAAACAAAAAAAGAACCAAAAAACCACAACAUUCCAACAGUACAUCUAAUCACCCACAGACAAAUUUUCUGCUGCU